CCGUGAACCUUUACUAUAGCUUGACACUGAACAUUGAGCCUUGAUGUGUAGGAUAGGUGGGAGGCUUUGAAGUGUGGACGCCAGUCUGCAUGGAGCCGACCUUGAAAUACCACCCUUUAAUGUUUGAUGUUCUAACGUGGACCCGUGAUCCGGGUUGCGGACAGUGUCUGGUGGGUAGUUUGACUGGGGCGGUCUCCUCCUAAAGAGUAACGGAGGAGCACGAAGGUUGGCUAAUCCUGGUCGGACAUCAGGAGGUUAGUGCAAUGGCAUAAGCCAGCUUGACUGCGAGCGUGACGGCGCGAGCAGGUGCGAAAGCAGGUCAUAGUGAUCCGGUGGUUCUGAAUGGAAGGGCCAUCGCUCAACGGAUAAAAGGUACUCCGGGGAUAACAGGCUGAUACCGCCCAAGAGUUCAUAUCGACGGCGGUGUUUGGCACCUCGAUGUCGGCUCAUCACAUCCUGGGGCUGAAGUAGGUCCCAAGGGUAUGGCUGUUCGCCAUUUAAAGUGGUACGCGAGCUGGGUUUAGAACGUCGUGAGACAGUUCGGUCCCUAUCUGCCGUGGGCGCUGGAGAACUGAGGGGGGCUGCUCCUAGUACGAGAGGACCGGAGUGGACGCAUCACUGGUGUUCGGGUUGUCAUGCCAAUGGCACUGCCCGGUAGCUAAAUGCGGAAGAGAUAAGUGCUGAAAGCAUCUAAGCACGAAACUUGCCCCGAGAUGAGUUCUCCCUGACCCUUUAAGGGUCCUGAAGGAACGUUGAAGACGACGACGUUGAUAGGCCGGGUGUGUAAGCGCAGCGAUGCGUUGAGCUAACCGGUACUAAUGAACCGUGAGGCUUAACCUUACAACGCCGAAGGUGUUU
rnacentral:rRNA from 1 species